AUAGGAUUUAUACUGCAAAGUAAUAUGUCGAUGUGAGAUCAUGAAUUCGAGGAAAUAAAAAUUUAAGCGUGUUUCAUUAUUUUAAAAUGCUUUCCUCCAUACGGAACACACCCUAUACUGAGGAAAGUUUCCCAGGAUUCUCUUUCAAACAUGAUAAUGUCAAGCUACCAGAUGCAUCUAGGUGUACAUGUAUACAUUUUAUUAAAUUGGAUUAUAUUAUUCAUAUCAAGAACUUUGCGCAAUAUUUUUUGUCAAUUGUCGGUCUGUUCAGUUGGCCUCAGGGAAUUCCUAUCAUGUACUUUGUUUGUUGAUAAUCAUUGUAUGCUGGGUAUUUGCCAGUUUUCUCUCUUUUCCAUCCUCUUUCUCCAUUCCAUCUCUGUAUUUUUUUUUAUUUUUUUUUAAAACUCAGGUUUAUCAGUUCUUCAUUUGUGUUCAUGUUCUAAAUGUGUGUUCUUUGUGUUGGUGAAUCUUUUCCGCUAUCUUUCUUUCUGUAAUUAGUGCACUUUCUUUGGUUGUAAUAACCAUUUAUACUUUUGAUUGUUUCUUAUUGGAUUUUCUACAUGCAUAUCAAAACUUCCUAUGAUAUACUCAUGCAUGUUUGGGUUUAGAUUAAGAUAACCAGGUGCAAGAAUUCUGAGAAGAACUGCAAAUUUUAUCUCAAGGUCCUUUUAGAAAUUUAAUUUUUCAUGUUGUUAAAAUCUAUGUUAAUUGGAUGUCUCCUUUUUCGUUUCCUUUGAACAAAGUGCACAAAGAUGUACUCUGCAUCUGCAAUAACUAAAUCAAUUUAACUGAGGCACCUAAGGUGUUUGAUAGUAUGCCUGAAGCAAUUGCUUUUUUCCACAGAAUUUAUACAACAUGCUCCUCUGUCAGUGAACAAUUCAAAAGAGUUGUACACUGUUGUCUGGAAAAGUGGGAAACUGAGAAGAGAUCAAUACACCUCCAAGGAAUGAAGAAGGUUCACCAGAUAUGAAAUCCUCCCAUAUUGCCGUGGAUGAAGAACGAUGGCAUUUCCCUUCGACGCUUAGAAUGACAUAACUGAUAUUUUAGACCUCACAUUCAGCAUCGAUGCUGAUGAAGAAAAGUUGAUGCUUUACGAACGCGAUGAGGUGACUGACUGCGACCUAAUCCCGGGUGGACGAAAUAUCAGAGUCACUGAAGAAAAUAAGCAAUAGUAUGUUGACUUGGUUGCUGAGCAUGGGUUGACGGCUGCUAUCCGCCCUAUGAUAAAUGCAUUUUUGGAAGGUUUUCAGUGAAUUGAUCCCACGGGAUCUGGUCUCUAUUUUUCACGACAAGGAACUUGAGCUGAUAAUUAGCGGUCUUCCAAACAUCGUUCGUGCCGUUGGAAGGGUUUAGUGCACUGCAAGGAAUUUCAGGUUCCCAGAAAUUUCAGAUCCACAAAGCUUAUGCCAGUCCUGAUUACUUGCCUUCAGCACUUACAUGGUAAUUAUUUUAUCAUCUGAAACUAGACGAUGGUUGCCCUCCUGAUGCUGAAGAUUUCUGCCAGUAAAGAUCUAUGUUGCUCACUCUCCAAAUUACUUAACCUUCUUUCAUUUUUGUUACCAUCCUAUUUUGCUUGUAUUUCUGAAUUUACCAGUAGAAGCCCAUGUUGCUUCCUCUGUCCAAAUUACUUCACUUGCUUUCCUUUUUAUGUGCAUCCUAAUUUACUGCAGAUGAGUUGGCAGCUCUUCUCUCUGAGACGGGAAAGCUUUCUUAUUUGAGUAUUUUAAUCCAAUGUUGAGUAAUAUUAUGUGAUAUUAUCCUAAACUUGAAUUACAUUUCAACUAUUGAUAGUAAUUUUUUCACACGAAGUAAAAAACUUCUUUCUUCGGAACUGGAUGGAGGUGUUGUGGAUUUGACUUCUACUACAUUUCUUAUUUACUGCAAACACUCCUUAACUAUUACUUACAGCUGGUGCGAGCAUCCAUGUAAAUAUUAAAUAUGGUACAGAGUGCACAUCCCUUAGGAUAGACUAAACACUAGCCCAGGUUAUCUUUGUCUUGUAAUGUGUUCUUGCUAUAGUGAUUGAACAUUUAGAGAUUUCAGAUUAUACUUUAGUGUAUGUAGACGUAGUGUCUUUUUUUUGUUGCUAUUUUUGAAUGAUGAGGAGACGGGCAUCAGGAAACUUGGUCCAAAAAAAAAAAAAAGGCAUUGGGAAACCUGAUAAGAACUUUUUGUUCAUGUAUUAUUUUUCCUUUUUACCAGUUACCUGGACACAAAUCUUCCAAAGGUUUCUCAGGUAAUUCCUAUUACUUGAGCAAAUCAUUAACUUUGUAUGUAAUUCAAUAUUUCUGCAGAUUUGUCAACAUUUAAAGGUCUUAGAUGCAUAUACCAUGUUUUUUAUACUUCUAUAUAUAUGUAGUAACAUACCAAUUGUUCGUCCUUUUACCUUAUAACUCAUAAUAUUUAUUUUUAUACUUCUCUCAACUCCAAUUUACUUAGUUGAUUUGUAUUUGCCUGUUUCUCCAGGUAUCUCAAAAUCUUCCUAUGUUGUGGUUUUUGGGAUGCGGAAGACUUGGCUAUUAAGCUUGGGACUCCAGCUCAUUGCAAAUGUUGCAUUAGGAUAUGCUUCUUUUGUCUUUGAAGAUAUAAACAAUUCUUAUAUUGUUGGGAAGGUUGGAGGAGAGAAGUGGAAAUCUAUUACUAAAGUUGUAUGCAAUUCAGUUUAUCUCUCUUAACAAUAGUGUUCAUAUAGACAACUUGGAACGGAUAACUUCUUACGUACAUUAUGUUGUAUUAAAAUUACCAGUUAAAUGAUAUCCUCUUUUCAGUUUGUUUUUCAGAAUGAAAAACGGGAUAGCCACAUUCCUCGUAGAAAGUAUAAGAUUUGCAUAUCUGACUCAAUGAAACCACU